rnacentral:rRNA from 1 species
UAGGGAAUCUUCCGCAAUGGGCGAAAGCCUGACGGAGCAACGCCGCGUGAGUGAUGAAGGUCUUCGGAUCGUAAAACUCUGUUAUUAGGGAAGAACAAAUGUGUAAGUAACUAUGCACGUCUUGACGGUACCUAAUCAGAAAGCCACGGCUAACUACGUGCCAGCAGCCGCGGUAAUACGUAGGUGGCAAGCGUUAUCCGGAAUUAUUGGGCGUAAAGCGAGCGCAGGCGGUCAAUUAAGUCUGAUGUGAAAGCCCCCGGCUCAACCGGGGAGGGUCAUUGGAAACUGGUUGACUUGAGUGCAGAAGAGGAGAGUGGAAUUCCAUGUGUAACGGUGAAAUGCGUAGAUAUAUGGAGGAACACCAGUGGCGAAGGCGACUCUCUGGUCUGUAACUGACGCUGAGGUUCGAAAGCGUGGGUAGCAAACAGG